GCCUGGAUGGCUCAGUUGGCUGAGCGUCUGACUUCGGCUCAUAUCAAGAUCUUGUGGUUUGUGGGUUCGAGCCCCGCGUUGGGCU
rnacentral:tRNA from 1 species